rnacentral:lncRNA from 1 species
AUAGAUCCUAGCUGUCAAUUUUGCCUGGUUAAACCAUAAUGAUAAUGAGUAACGAGACUAGUAUAUAUAGAGAAUGAGAUGAAUGGGGCUUUUGCAGUCUCAAGUUGAUACGUAGCUAGCUAGCACAAGAUGGGAUUAGGGGAAUUAGUAGUACUAUUGCUUCUAGCAAUUGUGUUGAGCCCAGAUUUGGUUGAUGGGCUUCUUGAUCGGAAGGCCGGAUAUAUUUCUCCGUUUAAUCGUAUUAGCAGUACUCUACGUAAACUUUCGCAUGGAUUUCAUAUUGAUGUUGGCAAGGUACAAGGAAAUAGCACAUUGUCAUCAAAUGAGGUUGCGGUUGAUAGUAAAAUGGGCAUGAAUGGUGGUGCUAAUGCUGGUGGUGGUUGUGGUGGCGGCGGCGGCGGCGGUCAAAAAGGAAGAGAUAGAGCACAUAAAAGAAAACAUGGAAAAAGAAAUGGUGCAGGGAAAGGCGGU